rnacentral:lncRNA from 1 species
GUCCCCUCCAAAUCUCAUUAUGAAAUGUAACCUCUAGUGUUGAAGGUGAGGCCUGCUGGGAGGUAUUUGGAUCAUCAGAGUGGAUCCUUCAUGAAUGGCUUAGCCAAUCCCCAUGGCAAUGAGUGAGUUCACAGGAGAUCUGGUUGUUUAAAAGUGUGUAGCUCCCCUUGUCCCCCCUCCUCCACUUGCUCCUGCUCUCAUCAUGUGAGGCACUGGCUCCCGCUUCACCUCCCACCAUGAUGUUAAGCUUCCUGAAGCCCUCACCAGAAGCAGAUGCCAGCACUCGAGCACAGCUUGCAGAACGAUGCAGC